ensembl:lincRNA Gm44109 predicted gene, 44109
AUGCGCCCUGCCGAGCAGCUGAAGGGAGGCAACUCAGCCUAGGACUCCCAUUUCCAAAGCUCAGAACAGCCAUGAAUCCAUCCCAUCAGGUAACAUCUCAAAGAAGAGUUUGAAUUCUGGGUAGAAGAGGUCUAGUGGCCUAGAACAUUCUGGAACAGAUCAUCUCACCUCAGAAUGAACGACCCUUCAGGAAGACUUAUCUACACUUUUUGUUCCACACCUACGUACACUCCACUCCCUUCCUUAAUUCUCCACCAGCUGAUGGGUGUAGAGAGCUGCCCUGUGGACUCUGCUUCAUCCACCUUUGGCUCAGUUUCACCACCAAAUGGAUGGUGGGAACCAUCCUCUGCUCUUUGCUGCCAGUGUCAGCAUCCUUUCUCUUAGUCUCAAGAAUGUUUCUGUUUGCGUGUCCUAUAAUUGCCACAAGAGACUAAGUUGUGUAAACAGCCUUCAAUAAACUUUCACAGUAAACAAAAUUCCAUCAUGAUCAUGCCUUGCUGAUGGAGUUCUGAGGAGGUCCAAGAGCUUACAAAGAAUGUAAGAGAUCGAGGCAUGAAUUAGUCCACGGAGUCACUAAUUAAACCAGGAGUUUUAACUAGGGAGCUGCUAUUUUAAGGUACUGUGAGAAAGAGUUGAAACAAUAGCAGAUAUCUAAGCUGAGAGAAUGGGGGAUUCUGUGUGCACCUUCCAUUUCGUUUAGCCACCCUUGUCCCCACCCAUCUCUCUCCGCCUCCUCUGGUUCUGUAGGGAGCUGCUCUCUAACAGCUGUGCAUCAGGAGAGGGUCAUCUGUUUACACCCCUCAAGCAUACUGUAGCCAAGCACAAUCAAGCCACGCUCAGGGAGUCUGAAACAGGACUCUUGCCUGAACCAAAGCUAUUUAGGUGCCAAGCACUGCAGGGGGUGGGGUGGGGGCACCAUAUUCUAAGCAUCAUCCUGUAGGACCCACUAAUUAGACCUGACACCUUGAUAAUCAAUCAAGUUACAAAGCUGCCCGAUACUCUGUAGCUCUUUACAAGAAAUGUGUGGAGCCCCAAAGCUUCCUUGUUACUAGCCAGUAAAAAGCUACUCAUUGCUACCUAACUUUUUUUCCCCCAAGACUACACCAAGCUUUCCAACUUUGAUGUUGAACUAUGUUAACAAUGGCUGACUUGGAAAGUCCCUGUAGGGUUUGGAAGAAAUUAAUGUUAGCCCUCCUCUCAACAAAAAAACUAGGGGUUUGCAAAACACACCAUAUGCUUGUCACUUUGCCAAUGAAUCAAGAUGUUUUUGCAGCCUUCUGAGUCUGAAUAAUUAAUGGUAAUGUCUAAAGAUUACCCCAAGGCUCAGGGAGUGAGGAUGGGGUCUCCGCGGUGUCCAACAAGACUCAACCUCAACUCAACCCAAUAUUUCAUGUGAUAAAUGGCCAGGCUUCAUGAACACCCCCACCACCCCACUCAUCACCAUUGUUCAUUCGUCGCCUGUUCCCAUUCCUCCCAUUUCUUACACAACUGGAUUCUCUGUUUUGCUUCAAGCAAAUGUUAUUCCUUUUUACCCUUCCUCAGAUACAGCACUUGUUCCAACUGUCUCCAGCUUCUCCAAUGAUUAUCUUUCUAACUGGUACACUUUGGUAUUAGCUGCUUUGCUGCCAGGGGACUAGUUUCCCUUCAAUACAUUCUUGCCAAACAAUUAAUCUAAAUCAAUGAAUCAAGCUGAAUAAAUCAAUAGCCUAACUAAUUCUGGUGAUUAUGGUCAACAUGGAUUUUUCUAAAUAUUUUAAAAGAACAGAUAAUUAAGUUUUUAUUCUGUAAAUUAAGAUACACCCAUGAUCAUUUAAAAAAAAUAUUAGUCAUAUGAACUCUUAGGUAAAAGGAACCCUUCUUUAAUUUUUAUAAUCUUUUGGGGAAAUUAGUUUCUAGAGUUGUGUCUAUUGUUGAUUCAUUUCUUCUCUCUCAGAAAUGCCAUAAUAAAGUGCUAUUCGGUCU